rnacentral:rRNA from 1 species
CAGUCGCCACGGUAAAACGAAGGGGGCUAGCGUUGCUCGGAAUUACUGGGCGUAAAGGGAGCGUAGGCGGACAUUUAAGUCAGGGGUGAAAUCCCAGAGCUCAACUCUGGAACUGCCUUUGAUACUGGGUGUCUUGAGUGUGAUAGAGGUAUGUGGAACUCCGAGUGUAGAGGUGAAAUUCGUAGAUAUUCGGAAGAACACCAGUGGCGAAGGCGACAUACUGGAUCAUUACUGACGCUGAGGCUCGAAAGCGUGGGGAGCAAACAGGAUUAGAUACCCCGGUAGUCCCUGUCUCUUAUAC